ensembl:lncRNA
AAAUAAUGUAUUUAUGAUCUCAAAACAAUACUUCCAUUUUCUCUCAUUGUCUCCUUCCUUGAUUGCUUCGUUUGCGAGUGAGUCGGCUCUUUGAUUCGGAGCCGGUUGCGGAGCGCCGACUCACGUAUAUGACUCUUUUCUUCUUCUUCUUCUUUUUUAAGGUUAAGGCAAUGGCUUUUUUAGUCACAUUUAAUCAAAUAAACGAGAUAAAAACCCAACAUCAGUCAUAGCAUCGCAAACUCGCCCGGUUUAGGAAAAGAAUUGGCAGCGAGUCGAGUCUUAUUGACGAGCUGAACCAAAUUAUCUGGGACAAGUGAUGUGUCGUUUGAGCAAGAGUCGGCUCUUUGAUUCAGCUCUUUUAGGUGAUGUUAGAGAGUCGACUCGACAUACCUCAAAACCUCUUUUCAGCAUCUGAGCUGUUCGUGAGUCGAGUGUUUGACUCUCAGCUGUGUGUUACAACAUGCUAUUGGUUACAAUUCUUUAUAUACUGUAUAUAUAAAGUAUAUCGACUCUUUUUUUGAUGAGUCAAAUGAUCUGACUAACUGAAUAGAGCUGAAAUCCCAUCACUACCUGUUAAGACGUUCCAGACUCAGACUUUUGGAUGUGUGUCCUGGAGGGAGGAAUAAUACCAAAUUAAAAUGAGGGUUUGAAACAGAAAAAGAUUUUGCAACAAUCCCAGUAACAUUUACUUUUUUUGCCAACUUUUUUGAGACGUGUUGCGGCCCUCAAAUUCAAAAUGACCUUAUUUUUUCCCGUUAAAACGGUACAGUUCCUCAGUUUAAACAUUUGAUACGUUUUCUAUGUCCUAUUAUAAAUAACAUGGGUUUAUGAGAUUUGCAAAUCAUCACAUUCUGUUUUUAUUUCCAUUUCACACGGCGUCCCAGCUUUUUUGGAAUUGAGGAUGUACAUGUGGAGUAAGGGAAGAAAUUAUAUAUUUUUGAUAUUUUGCCAAUCUAUAAGCCGAUUUUUGCGGCCCAUUAAAAUGGCUAAAGAUGAGGAAAAUAAACCUUUAAGUAUCCAAAACAGAGCUGAGCAACUGAUAUUGUUCAUGCAAGAGAAAGAUGACGUCAAUUGUAUGCAUUUAUCUUUGGGUCCACCAGGUGGCGACCAAAUCAACGGGUAAUUUUGAGCCUAUACAUACAGUAGAGCAAAGCCGUGUAGUGCAGGUUUUGUUUCGACCCAUCAGUGUCAAGUUCUCUAAACUGGAUGACGUCAUAAUGCUCACGGAUUCUCAUUACAGGCAAUUUUUUUUUGUCACGUUUUAUUAGUAGAGUACUUCUUUGCCGCAUGUCCGGCUUCAAAUACAACUGCGUUCAAUAUGAUGCGGGGGUGCCAAUAAUUUUGCCACGUAUGUUGUUGUAUGAAAUAUCAUUUUUUAUUUUUAAAAUCUAUUCAAUGAAUGUAUUUA